CCCUUCCAACUUUCAUUCUGCGAUGGAAAACCCUUCAUAAGUCUCGCGGCGACUGACCCUCCCAAAGAGCCAACGCCGUCUAGCUCCGGCCACCGUAUGAGUGACCCUUCUCGUCCGGCGCUUGACAAGGCGCAUCGGCAGCAAGCUACGACUGGGCGAUAAUGGCAAGUGGGAGUUAUGGUGGCAUCGACACUUUGAGGUAGCAAGUUGUUCAAGGUUAGGUGAGCCAUGUCGGGUCGGUUAAAUCUGGAUUUCGGGUCGGUUCAAUUUCAAUCGAGUCUGGACUUAUCUUGAAUUGAUGUAAUUGGGUUCAUGUGGGUAAUUGGUUCAGGCUUGAAUUUAGGCCUGUAAAAUAGUGUAAAUAUGUUAAUAAUAAUAAUAAUAAUAGUAAUAAUUAUAAUAAUA